AGAUAAUUGAGUGCAAUAUUUUUUUUUUGUUAUUAUUCAUUUUUUUAAAAUGGUUCAUGGUUCAUUGUCAAAAGUUGAAAUGUAUUUUAUCAUUUGUUUGCAAAAAUAAAAAUAACAAUAAUAAUAAAUUCAUUUGACGGUUCUGUAGUCAUCAAUGACUGUCCAUGACCGUUUCAUUUGAACCAAUAUCAGGUAUGAUUUUUUCUUUCGAAUGGAUAAAAUUUUUCGAAAUAAACAACUAAUGGGCAAAACCAAAAGAAAGCUUGGAGGGAUCUUUUUUUAUUUUUUGUCAAAUAAAU